AUGGAAAAUAGAGGCCAGUUAACACAAAGAAGCAAAAACAAACAAACAAAAAACACAACAAAGACUCCAUGGCACAAGAGGAGAGAAGACAGAGACAUUGCUGCAACCAGCACCACCUGCACAGCACAGCCAGCUUGUCGGCUGGGAGCUGCCAUCUUACCAUCUGAAGAACUAAGGUUUCAGCGAUGCAACUUGAGCGAAGUGCUUUGGGUAGAACUUUCACAUGUGGGGAUGAGUCUAGAAUCUGUAAGCUUCCUCGUGAGAAGAGUUCUGUUCACACAGUAAGGCAGAAAGGAAAAAAUUCUUCCUAUACUGGGUCCUUGUGAAAGGAAAUAAAGUGAAGUAAUAAAGGAUGAAAAAUCUAAAU
rnacentral:lncRNA from 1 species